rnacentral:misc_RNA from 1 species
GGGCCAUAUCUGCAGGGUUGUGUGGUUCGUCAAUUCUCUAAACGGAAGGGCGUGUAAUUGGAAAUUGGCUCGUUUCUGCUGUCUGGCUCCAUGAUCGUGGUCAUCGAACAUUCAGCACACAACCCUUCUCAUGUUCGCCUUGGGUCAUUUCAUCCGCGGCGUUCAAUAAUGGUCUCUUGUGCUGCCUACCUGUUAAGUGGUAUUCAUGUGCCUAUUUUGAUCUGUUCCAUCCAAACCCCUCCCAAAGGUCGUUGGAGGAUUCAAAAGUGAUGCGUGUGAUGUGUCAUUUGUGCAUUGUAAUGUGUUGCGUUCUCACACGUGUCUAGUGUUCCCUUGAAUGCGGUGCAUGCGGUGUACGUGGGCUAAUAAGUCUGCCCCGUUAAGUCCCUUUAAUUUAUCGGUUCCCUUGAAUGACACUGUGCCGUUGUGUUGGUCUUGCUUAACCAUUCGUUGUGGCAACACUUUCACGUCAAGCAAAGUCGUUAAUG